AACGAACGCUGGCGGCGUGCCUAACACAUGCAAGUCGAACGAGAAAGUCCCGCAAGGGAUGAGUAAAGUGGCGCACGGGUGGGUAACACGUAGGUAACCUGCCUCUAAGAUCGGGAUAACCUGUCGAAAGACGAGCUAAUACCGGAUAAGACCACAGUCCCCUCGGGGACAGGGGUCAAAGGUAGCCUCUGCUUGCAAGCUAUCACUUAGAGAUGGGCCUGCGUACCAUUAGCAGUUGGUAGGGUAACGGCCUACCAAGGCAAAGAUGGUUAGCUGGUCUGAGAGGAUGAUCAGCCACACUGGAACUGAGACACGGUCCAGACUCCUACGGGAGGCAGCAGUGGGGAAUCUUGCGCAAUGGGCGAAAGCCUGACGCAGCAACGCCGCGUGGGUGAUGAA
rnacentral:rRNA from 1 species